rnacentral:rRNA from 1 species
AUGAUGCCACCUGUGAAGAAUAGGAACCCCAGAUCAAAUUCUUCAUAUGGACCAAAUUCCUCAUAUGGAUCAAAGUCCUCAUAUGAACGUCAUCGUGCUAACCCGUCUAUUUCACAGGGAAGAUCUAAGGAUUAUGGAUAUGUGCAUUAUUCUUCAAAUCAUUAUGUCCAUAAGUCCUUGAAGAAUUUCUCUGCAUACUCUUAUGCUUACUCUAACCCCUCUUAUGUGAAACGAAAUGGACUGGCCUCUAUGCCAUCCUUCUCGUAUGGAGUUCGCAGAAUGAUGAACUCUUUGCCACCCCUUCAGAUGUGGGUGGUGAAGAAAAAGAAUUAA